CACCUGUUGACCCUUCAAGCAUCAACUCCACCACCACCACCAACUCAACGUUCCUGAAUGUCACCUACAGAGUUCAGAGCAAACUCUUCAGACGCGCCCUCUGGCAGACCGUCUGUGCUGCCACCAAAGACACGUGCUGCGACGUCUCUUCAGCGCUGGACGAUGCCGGUGGCCGCUAUCUCCUCCGCGUGAGAUUCUCCGUCUCGUCCUCACCACCGCUGUCCUCACCCUGGGUCGCGCUUGAGGUCGUGCCCUUGAGGGAGAAGAGCGACGCGC